rnacentral:rRNA from 1 species
CGCGCAGGCGGCCAUUUUUGUCAGGCGUGAAAGCCCCGGGCUUAACCUGGGAACUGCGCUUGAAACGGGAUGGCUUGAGAUCGGGAGAGGAGAGUGGAAUUCCCAGUGUAGAGGUGAAAUUCGUAGAUAUUGGGAAGAACACCGGUGGCGAGGGCGGCUCUCUGGACCGAUACUGACGCUGAGGCGCGAAAGCGUGGGGAGCAAACA